AUUGAACGCUGGCGGCAGGCCUAACACAUGCAAGUCGAGAGGAGCGGCGGACGGGUGAGUAAUGCCUAGGAAUCUGCCUGGUAGUGGGGGAUAACGUCAGGAAACGGGCGCUAAUACAGCAUACUAUCAGAUGAGCCUAGGUCGGAGUAGCUAGUUGGUGGGGUAAAGGCCUACCAAGGCGACGAUCCGUAACUGGUCAGAGAGGAUGAUCAGUAACACGGGAACGUGGACACGGUCCAUACUCCUACGGGAGGAAGCAGUGGGGAAUAUUGGACAAGUGGCGAAAGCCGGAUCCAGCCAUGCCGCGUGUGUGAAGAAGGUCUUCGGAUUGUAAAGCACUUUAAGUUGGGAGGCGUUACCAACAGAAUAAGCACCGGCUAACUUCGUGCCAGCCGCCGCGGUAAUUC
rnacentral:rRNA from 1 species